rnacentral:Y_RNA from 1 species
GUCUGGUCGGAGUGCAAUGGUGUUUACAACAAAUUGAUCACAACCAGUUAAGAGAUUUUUUUGUUCCUUCUCCACUCCCACUGCUUCACUUGACUAAAAA